CGAACGGGUGAGUAACACGUGGGUAACCUGCCCAUCAGAAGGGGAUAACACUUGGAAACAGGUGCUAAUACCGUAUAACACUAUUUUCCGCAUGGAAGAAAGUUGAAAGGCGCUUUUGCGUCACUGAUGGAUGGACCCGCGGUGCAUUAGCUAGUUGGUGAGGUAACGGCUCACCAAGGCAACGAUGCAUAGCCGACCUGAGAGGGUGAUCGGCCACACUGGGACUGAGACACGGCCCAGACUCCUACGGGAGGCAGCAGUAGGGAAUCUUCGGCAAUGGACGAAAGUCUGACCGAGCAACGCCGCGUGAGUGAAGAAGGUUUUCGGAUCGUAAAACUCUGUUGUUAGAGAAGAACAAGGAUGAGAGUAGAACGUUCAUCCCUUGACGGUAUCUAACCAGAAAGCCACGGCUAACUACGUGCCAGCAGCCGCGGUAAUACGUAGGUGGCAAGCGUUGUCCGGAUUUAUUGGGCGUAAAGCGAGCGCAGGCGGUUUCUUAAGUCUGAUGUGAAAGCCCCCGGCUCAACCGGGGAGGGUCAUUGGAAACUGGGAGACUUGAGUGCAGAAGAGGAGAGUGGAAUUCCAUGUGUAGCGGUGAAAUGCGUAGAUAUAUGGAGGAACACCAGUGGCGAAGGCGGCUCUCUGGUCUGUAACUGACGCUGAGGCUCGAAAGCGUGGGGAGCGAACAGGAUUAGAUACCCUGGUAGUCCACGCCGUAAACGAUGAGUGCUAAGUGUUGGAGGGUUUCC
rnacentral:rRNA from 1 species